GACGAACGCUGGCGGCGCGCUUAACACAUGCAAGUCGAACGGAGCUUAGAGAGCUUGCUUUUUAAGCUUAGUGGCGAACGGGUGAGUAACGCGUGAGUAACCUGCCCUAGAGUGGGGGACAACAGUUGGAAACGACUGCUAAUAUCGCAUAAGCCCACGGUACCGCAUGGCACUGAGGGAAAAGGAUUUAUUCGCUUUAGGAUGGACUCGCGUCCAAUUAGCUAGUUGGUGAGGUAACGGCCCACCAAGGCGACGAUUGGUAGCCGGACUGAGAGGUUGAACGGCCACAUUGGGACUGAGACACGGCCCAGACUCCUACGGGAGGCAGCAGUGGGGGAUAUUGCACAAUGGGGGAAACCCUGAUGCAGCGACGCCGCGUGGAGGAAGAAGGUUUUCGGAUUGUAAACUCCUGUCGUUAGGGACGAUAAUGACGGUACCUAACAAGAAAGCACCGGCUAACUACGUGCCAGCAGCCGCGGUAAAACGUAGGGUGCAAGCGUUGUCCGGAAUUACUGGGUGUAAAGGGAGCGCAGGCGGGAAGACAAGUUGGAAGUGAAAACCAUGGGCUCAACCCAUGAAUUGCUUUCAAAACUGUUUUUCUUGAGUAGUGCAGAGGUAGAUGGAAUUCCCGGUGUAGCGGUGGAAUGCGUAGAUAUCGGGAGGAACACCAGUGGCGAAGGCGGUCUACUGGGCACCAACUGGCGCUGAGGCUCGAAAGCAUGGGUAGCAAACAGAAUUAGAUACCCUGGUAGUCCAUGCCGUAAACGAUC
rnacentral:rRNA from 1 species